CCUACGGGGGGCAGCAGUGGGGAAUAUUGGGCAAUGGGCGCAAGCCUGACCCAGCAACGCCGCGUGAAGGAAGAAGGCUUUCGGGUUGUAAACUUCUUUUGUCAGGGACGAAGCAAGUGACGGUACCUGACGAAUAAGCCACGGCUAACUACGUGCCAGCAGCCGCGGUAAUACGUAGGUGGCAAGCGUUAUCCGGAUUUAUUGGGUGUAAAGGGCGUGUAGGCGGGAAUGCAAGUCAGAUGUGAAAACUAUGGGCUCAACCCAUAGCCUGCAUUUGAAACUGUGUUUCUUGAGUACUGGAGAGGGAAUCGGAAUUCCGGGUGUAGCAGUGAAAUGCGUAGAUAUACGGAGGAACACCAGUGGCGAAGGCGGAUUGCUGGACAGUAACUGACGCUGAGGCGCGAAAGCGUGGGGAGCAAACAGGAUUAGAUACCCUUGUAGUC
rnacentral:rRNA from 1 species